CUACGUGCCAGCAGCCGCGGUAAUACGUAGGUGGCAAGCGUUGUCCGGAUUUAUUGGGCGUAAAGCGAGCGCAGGCGGUUCCUUAAGUCUGAUGUGAAAGCCCCCGGCUCAACCGGGGAGGGUCAUUGGAAACUGGGGAACUUGAGUGCAGAAGAGGAGAGUGGAAUUCCAUGUGUAGCGGUGAAAUGCGUAGAUAUAUGGAGGAACACCAGUGGCGAAGGCGACUCUCUGGUCUGUAACUGACGCUGAGGCUCGAAAGCGUGGGGAGCAAACAGGAUUAGAUACCCUGGUAGUCCACGCCGUAAACGAUGAGUGCUAGGUGUUGGGUCCUUUCCGGGACUCAGUGCCGCAGCUAACGCAUUAAGCACUCCGCCUGGGGAGUACGACCGCAAGGUUGAAACUCAAAGGAAUUGACGGGGGCCCGCACAGGCGGUGGAGCAUGUGGUUUAAUUCGAAGCAACGCGAAGAACCUUACCAGGUCUUGACAUCCCUCUGACCGCUCUAGAGAUAGAG
rnacentral:rRNA from 1 species